GGGGAAUCUUGGUCAAUGGGCGCAAGCCUGAACCAGCGACGCCGCGUGAGUGAUGAAGGCCUUCGGGUUGUAAAGCUCUGUGGGGAGGAAAGAAAAAACCAAGUCGAAUAGGCUUGGGAAUUGACGGUACCUCCUUAGCAAGCACCGGCUAACUCUGUGCCAGCAGCCGCGGUAAGACAGAGGGUGCAAACGUUGCUCGGAAUUACUGGGCGUAAAGCGCGUGUAGGCGGAUAGGCAAGUCCGGCGUGAAAGCCCUAGGCUCAACCUAGGAAUUGCACUGGAAACUGCCUGUCUGGAGUACUGGAGAGGAAAGCGGAAUUCCUGGUGUAGAGGUGAAAUUCGUAGAUAUCAGGAGGAACACCGGUGGCGAAGGCGGCUUUCUGGACAGUUACUGACGCUGAGACGCGAAAGCGUGGGGAGCAAAC
rnacentral:rRNA from 1 species